AUGGGUUAUCUCAACAGGGAGGAAGAGAACUUCACAUUUAGCUCCUCAUGCAGGGAAUUUUCCUUACAUUGUCUGGUUUUAUCCUCAUACCAACUUUAUCUCCAUUUUAGUUAUGCAGAAAUUACGAAUGGGAGGUACACAACUUGGCCGAGGUCAUCACCUUCAAGUGCGAGCCAGGAGGGAAACUCGGGGGUCCACAGAGCAUUAUGGACACAGAUGGUCAAUGAUUAUGAGACCCCCUCAGGGAGAGGAGCAGCCCCCAGUGCCCUGUGCUGCAGACACGUGUCUCUAGUGGGUUCGGACUGUAACUUCGGCCCCUUCAAGUCCCCUGUACCUUCCUGUUGGUGCGGAGCUGCAGCUGCCUAUGACCUGCGUUGUCGUCCGCCUGAUCCUGCCUGUAGGUAAGUUCUCCACGAUAACCUUCAUGGCUGUACUGUAUGGAGUUGCCUGCUUUCUUUUCUCAAAUUUCUUUCUCCCAGUUAAGGGAAUAUUAUUCAACACUGCCUAACAGUUUCCCACCCUGACCCCAUAUCAGUCAGUGUCAGAGCUCAUUCUAGGUAUUUCAGCUGGAGGAGAUUUCACGCGAGGAAUUGGUGUCAACAGUGUUGAAAGCCCUGACGGAGUAGAAGAUGGACUGAUGAAGGGUCAGUGACGACAGCAAGUCACUCCCAGCCCUGGCCGGGGGACCCCAGGGGACAGGCAGUGUUGCCAGACGUGGGCGGAUGCUCACAGCAGUCACUGCCGAAAGCUGGGAGCCACUCCACUGCAACACCCCUUGUGACUGCUGCUGCAGCCAUAGAAGGUGGUGGAAGGCACAGCUGGCUGGCUGUGGCCAGUUUGCGCUGCUGGACCUACGGAUGAUGUGAGAACAGCAGCCACCAGCCAGCGUCUGCAAGGCCAGGGAAGCCUACGUCACCCAUGGCUGUCAGAAGCAGAAUUUUUGUAAAAGCUUCCUUUUCUUUCAGCUUUCCAGUUUCCUUUUAUCACCCCUUUUUGGAAGAACCUGUCCAGAGAAGUAAUCUGGCUGAGAAGUCUGGGAAAUUUAAUUUUAAGUGUUUUAACCCCAGAAUAUGAGAAGGUAGAAAGGAGUCUGAGAGCAAAAUGGGCAAAUGAAGGUCACAUGCCCCUGUCCCCCCACAUCUUUGGUAUGACGCCAGCUCUCUGCUUUCUCCACCCAUGAAAUGAUGAUGACAGGUUAAGUUCAAAUAUCAGUGCAACUUAAAUUUUA
rnacentral:lncRNA from 1 species